GCCUUCGUGGUGUAACGGUAGCACACUCGGCGCGUAUUCGAGAGGUCCAGGUUCGAGUCCUGGCGAGGGCA
rfam:Stegodyphus mimosarum contig103267, whole genome shotgun sequence.